UCCUUGUUAGCUCAGUCGGUAGAGCGUUCGGCUUUUAAGGAUCUAUAAAGUUCAGAAGUCGACCGAACGGUCGAGGGUUCGAGCCCCUCACAGGGAG